rnacentral:rRNA from 1 species
UCGGGUUGUAAAGCACUUUUGUCCGGAAAGAAAACCUCUGGGUUAAUACCCCGGGGGGAUGACGGUACCGGAAGAAUAAGCACCGGCUAACUACGUGCCAGCAGCGCGGUAAUCGUAGGGUGCGAGCGUUAAUCGGAAUUACUGGGCGUAAAGCGUGCGCAGGCGGUUCGUUAAGACAGAUGUGAAAUCCCCGGGCUUAACCUGGGAACUGCAUUUGUGACUGGCGGGCUAGAGUAUGGCAGAGGGGGGUAGAAUUCCACGUGUAGCAGUGAAAUGCGUAGAGAUGUGGAGGAAUACCGAUGGCGAAGGCAGCCCCCUGGGCCAAUACUGACGCUCAUGCACGAAAGCGUGGGGAGCAAACAGGAUUAGAUACCCUGGUAGUCCACGCCCUAAACGAUGUCAACUAGUUGUUGGGGAUUCAUUUCCUUAGUAACGUAGCUAACGCGUGAAGUUGACCGCCUGGGGAGUACGGUCGCAAGAUUAAAACUCAAAGGAAUUGACGGGGACCCGCACAAGCGGUGGAUGAUGUGGAUUAAUUCGAUGCAACGCGAAAAACCUUACCUACCCUUGACAUGUAUGGAACCUGGCUG